GACGAACGCUGGCGGCGUGCUUAACACAGGCGAGUCGAGCGGAGCGGCGAACGGGGGAGUAACGCGUGAGUAACUGCCCCCCUCUCUGGGAUAAAAGUUGGAAAAGGCUGCUAAUACCGGAUAGUGGGGGAUGACUCGCGUCCUAUCAGCUUGUUGGUUGGGUAGUGGCCUACUAAUGCGACGACGGGUAGCCGGCCUGAGAGGGCGACCGGCCACACUGGGCUGAGAUACUGCCCGAACCCCGACGGGAGGCAGCAGUGGGGAAUAUUGCACCAUGGGGGAAACCCUGAUGCAGCAACGCGCGUGCGGGAUGACGGCCUUCGGGUUGCAACCCGCUUUCAGCCAUGACGCGGUAGUGGCAGAAGAAGCACCGGCUAACUACGUUCCAGCAGCCGCGGUAAUAC
rnacentral:rRNA from 1 species